CAAGGAUGUCUGAGAAAUCAAUGAGCUCUCAUUUUGAUCAUCUGCUAUUGUUUUGGUGAACCAUUUUGCUGCUGUUAUGUCUGAAUUUCUGCUUCCCAUUUGCAACCUCAGAAGCAAGAACUUGGGCAACUGGAUCUGAUAGAGCCUGCAGGGUUCAUUAAUGGAGCAGGGCUGGUUGGAUUCAUUGCCUGGAUAUCUGCCACAGGAGCUCAGAUGAAGGCAAUAACCAGCGGCAACGUUCAGUCCUCUCUGCGGGGUAGAUCUGGAGAUGUACAUAGGGAACAGUUUUCUGAGUUCAGCCUUUUGGACUCUGAUCUGCUUCUUUGCUAUGCCGUAGGUCUAACUUUUGAGACAGAAAAAUGCAGUUAGGGGGGAACACUUGGAGGUCUGUGGCCCAAAAGUGAGCUGAAUGAGAGCUAUUUGCAUCAGGUUUUUGAGGGCUUUAUUCUUUGAGUAUCUCCAAAACUGGACAUGAAGUAUUGGACCUCUGCUCUAAUAUUUGAUUAACCUAAUGAGAAAACUCUUUCAGGGUUAAAAAGUUGUGCCUGUGGUUCUGCUUCUGCUGGAGGGCAGUGAGCUAUAAAUGAUGUAUGGAAUCAGAUACAGGUUCUGCCUGUUGUGUUGCACUGGUACAUGAUGGGGGCUGGUACAGCCUUUGAUGGCCUUUAUUCAUCUCCACUCCUGCUCACUGAAAUCAUCAAAUAUGUGGGCAAAAAGAGCCUCUGGCAGCAGCAGGCAGGUUGCUCCAGCUUGAAAUAAGUAGAAAUCCGAAGCUUGACCUUCACCAACGUUCUCUGUAUAGAGGAUGGGCUGCACUACUGGACCUGCUCCCACCAUAGGAUAUGCCAGGAAUGGCUGCUUAGUGAAAACCAUCUGCAGCUGUACCAGCACCAUGCUUCACCUCUGCAAGCACAAAAGCAAAGAGACAAAACUUCUCACUCUGUUUGGCUCAACUUCUGUCUCCUCUGCUGGAUUCCAGCCUGGAACCUGCAGUGCAAGCCUUGGGAGGCUGCAAUGUGGCUCCUGGGCAGUGUAGCUGUUGGGUGUAUGGUGCAUCUUGCUCUGCUUGGAAGUCCAAAAGGCUUUCAUGCCAGCACUUACAGUCACAGAGGCUC
rnacentral:lncRNA from 1 species